GUGGUUGAAUAUAAAAAAUACAAGAUUCCAAAUAUUGCUUAACAAAUUAAGUAGUUUCUUCUCCGAAUAUUUUUUUUUAUGUCUUUUAUGUUGACUAUUUUCAAGAUUUUUCAGGGAGGUGUACAAGUAGUGGUGGUUGAUACAAAAUUAUGACCGAAAGAAGUAGGUCUAUAAUCUACAUUAAGGUUGUAGGUGUAGCACUAUAAUUAGCCCAGAAUACUUUUUCUUAACCAUACACUUUCCAGAUGGCUAAUUAGUUACUGCAUGUAAUAAGAUAAAUUGAAGACGUAAAUGUCAAAAAUAUUUAAACUGUUUUUUUUUAACAUUCGUAAUAGAAUUAUUAUGAGAGUGAGUUUCAAACAUAAAUUUUCACUUACUAGUUUGAGGAAUAUAUUAAUAGUGUGUGUAAUAUAUUUGGGGGUCAUUUCGUAGAGUGUAUUAAAAAAAAAGGAAAAUUACAUGGGAUGGCAAACAUUCAUAGCUAAUUAUAUUAUAGGGGUAUAGUUUAAUUUAUUUACCUUAUAUAAUUAUAGUUUAUUUUUGUUUGCUAUAUUUAAUGGGGUCCACAACCUAUUAUAUAACCAAUGGUAUAAAAACAUUAUUUUCUAAUUUUGUAUAUAGUUAUACACAAAACAAUUUUCUCUCUCCUUUUCACAUUCCAAAUUUUUCUCCUACAUUUAAUACUCCAACUAUCCAGUUUGAAAUUCAAAUUGUUGUCCAAAAUUAGAUUAUUCCCUCACGAAGUUGAAGUUCCCUCCCGAAGUUGAAGUCAAUUUUAUCUAAAAUUGGUCACACAGUGAAUGAAUCAUCUUCAUCUUUGAGGAUUACCAGAGGGUCAUUGGGAAAAUCAAAUCAGUUAGACAAGAACAAAUAAUGAAAGAGCUUAGAUCAAAGGAAAAAAACGACCCUACGGCAGUUCAACAAGCUAUUAACAAUGUCAAAGCUAGAGGCAUUAAACCAGUACAAGGAAGAAGAAAGAGGAAAGCUGUAAACAUUGAAUCAGAGGAAAAUGCUUCUGAAGUUGUCGGAUCUGAAGAACAUAAUAUUCAUGAGAUAUUGUAUUAAAACACAA